rnacentral:rRNA from 1 species
UCUACGGGUGGCAGCAGUGAGGAAUAUUGGUCAAUGGCCGGGAGGCUGAACCAGCCAAGUCGCGUGAGGGAAGACGGCCCUACGGGUUGUAAACCUCUUUUGUCAGGGAGCAAGGUGCAGGUCGGGACCUGCUGUGAGAGUACCUGAAGAAAAAGCAUCGGCUAACUCCGUGCCAGCAGCCGCGGUAAUACGGGGGAUGCGAGCGUUAUCCGGAUUUAUUGGGUGUAAAGGGUGCGCAGGCGGAGGCACAAGUCAGCGGUAAAAUCGCGGGGCUCAACCCCGCUCCGCCGUUGAAACUGUGUCCCUUGAGUGCGCGAAGGGUAGGCGGAAUGCGUGGUGUAGCGGUGAAAUGCUUAGAUAUUGCGCAGAACUCCGAGUGCGAAGGCAGCAUACCGGCGGCGAUCUGACGCUGAGGCACGAAAGCGUGGGUAUCGAACAGGAUUAGAUACCCGUGUAGUC